rnacentral:tRNA from 1 species
CUAAGGAUGAUCCUUCAGCGAGCUCACGCUCACUAUCGGAUCGUUUUAGAAACAUCAGUGGCCAACAGAUCGCCAGAUCGUUGAGCUGCAUUGGCGGGAUUUCGCCGUCUUCGUUUCUCUUUCUUCGCGGACGAACACGCGCUGGGCCUGCAUCAAGCAGGACCCACGGUCCCUGACGGGAUAUGCGUUAGGGGCUUGUAGCUCAGUUGGUUAGAGCGCGCGCUUGAUAAGCGUGAGGUCGGAAGUUCAAGUCUUCCCAGGCCCACCACUUUCAUCGAGUGAGCAUUCGUCUUCUGGUUACGGGGCCAUAGCUCAGCUGGGAGAGCGCGUGCUUUGCAAGCAUGAGGUCGUCGGUUCGAUCCCGUCUGGCUCCACCAGAUGGUUUGAUCACCGAGAUCUUGCACCGUCGUCCGCGAAACAUCACUUCGCAUCCUGCUAGUCUGGAUAGACAGCAAGAUGCGUGUUUUCUGACAUCGUAAAGAGGAGAUCGAUCCGAGUUGGGUCGUGCAGCAGAUUGUUGCGCGAACCUUCAUUAUCUCCGGAUCAUUUUCGGCGCUCGCUUUCAGCCGUGAGGUUGAAUGCGAGUUGUAAAAUGAUCCUUUUAGCGAAGCUUGACCGCCUCGCUAUCGGAACGAUCUUACGAAGCAAGCUGGUCUUUCUAGUCAAUGUCCGGCUGCACGUAGCAUUCAUCGAGGGUGCGCGCCGUAAGGCAAUCGUGCAGACAACAUUCUGCCGAGUGUGUGGACAUUGAUAAUGAGAGC